CGCCAAAAAGCCGCCGUGGGAACUUUACGCCUUCCAUGGAGACGUUCGCGUGGUCUCAAGCCCCGACGUCAAACUGUUGGUCGUAAAACCCAGCAUAACCUAAUCCUAAGGUCAAAAUGUUGCUCCUCGCACCCUACGCCUCAACGCGUACAAUGGUCAGAGUCUCACUACUCCCUCAACCUCCCCAGCACGCCGCACACUAGCUUUCGGGCCCUGUGCAAUCUAAGCCGCUCUGCUGCCACUCACGGCUGUAGGCAAUUUGCUUAUAGGCUUUAUUUGCUAUCUUUUCGUAUUCGUACGUUAGACCUUACAGCAAGUUCUAUCGGCAUCCAAGGAGCUGACGUGGACCUAGAUGGCUACGUUGAAGCCGCGGGAAAUCUCGAGGCGCAAGGCAAGACAUAA
rnacentral:lncRNA from 1 species